GAUGAACGCUGGCGGCGUGCCUAAUACAUGCAAGUCGAGCGAACAGACGAGGAGCUUGCUCCUCUGACGUUAGCGGCGGACGGGUGAGUAACACGUGGAUAACCUACCUAUAAGACUUGGAUAACUUCGGGAAACCGUAGCUAAUACCGGAUAAUAUAUUGAACCGCAUGGUUCAAUAGUGAAAGACGGUUUUGCUGUCACUUAUAGAUGGAUCCGCGCCGCAUUAGCUAGUUGGUAAGGUAACGGCUUACCAAGGCAACGAUGCGUAGCCGACCUGAGAGGGUGAUCGGCCACACUGGAACUGAGACACGGUCCAGACUACUACGGGAGGCAGCAGUAGGGAAUCUUCCGCAAUGGGAGAAAGCCUGACGGAGCAAAGCCGCGUGAGUGAUGAAGGUCUUCGGAUCGUAAAACUCUGUUAUUAGGGAAGAACAAAUGUGUAAGUAACUAUGCACGUCUUGACGGUACCUAAUCAGAAAGCCACGGCUAACUACGUG
rnacentral:rRNA from 1 species